CCAUGGAUAAUACAUAAUGAGGAUCUGCUUUGUUUUUUUGGUGAUGAUUAUUCCAGUGUUAAGGUCAAGGAACUGAGUUUUAAAAUGGAAAGACAAUUCAUCCCACUGUUAUUUAAUGAUACCUUCUGUGUGCAAAUAACAAAAUGCUUUGGAAUAUGUCUCUUUCUGCAAAGAGUGUACCUUUCCAUGAAGAGGGACAGAAGACACAACCAUCAUAAAAUUCAUCUUAAGCAUAAUGUCAAAUGAGUGGUAGAAACAAUAGUGUGGGCAUUCAGGAAUGGGAAAAAUCACUCUGACUUGGGAUGGCUAGGGUAAACUUCCUGGAGAAGUUGAGACUUAGUUAAGAUCAUGUAGGAUGUCUGGUUAAUGGCACAUCUGAUAUGGGUAAAAAAAUGAACAAAAUUUGCAAUGGAAUACAUUGUACAAAUGUGAUGGCCAUUGGAUACAGUGGAAUGACAGUCAACCUUGUGUGGGAGAGGAGAGGAUAGGCAGGAAAUUGGAUCAGAUUGUGGAGGGUCUUUAGUUUUGUUUUUGUUUUUUUUUUUCCAAAAACAUUCCUUGGAAGUAUCCUAUUUCAUCAAGCAUAAGCCAUAAAUAUUAGGGCUGGAAAAUCCUUCAUGGCUUUGCUGACAUGAAAAAAAAGAACCUGCUUCAUUGAUGAGCCUGUGUCUUUGUACAUUAUAUCCAUGAGUGCUAUUAAGUUCAGUGUUUUCUGUAUGUUUCAGACAUUAGUCUCUUACCAUGGGGGAUUGGAAUUUAUUGGGUGGCAUCCUAGAGGAAGUUCACUCCCACUCAACUAUAGUGGGGAAAAUCUGGCUGACCAUACUCUUCAUUUUCCGAAUGCUGGUACUUGGUGUGGCUGCUGAAGAUGUCUGGGAUGAUGAACAGUCAGCAUUUGCCUGCAACACCCAGCAGCCAGGUUGCAACAACAUCUGUUAUGAUGAUGCUUUCCCUAUCUCUUUGAUCAGGUUCUGGGUUUUACAGAUCAUCUUUGUGUCUUCUCCUUCUCUGGUGUAUAUGGGCCAUGUACUUUAUAGACUCAGAGCCUUCGAAAAGGAGAGGCAGAAGAAAAAGUCACACCUCCGAGUCCAGAUGGGGAAUCCCGAGCUUGAAUUGGAGGAGCAACAAAGGAUAGAUAGAGAGCUGAAGAGGUUAGAGGAGCAGAAGAGAAUUCAUAAAGUCCCUCUAAAAGGAUGUCUGCUGCGUACUUAUGUCUUACACAUCUUGACAAGAUCUGUGAUGGAAGUAGGGUUCAUGAUAGGCCAAUAUAUUCUAUAUGGGUUUCAAAUGCACCCACUUUACAAAUGCACUCAACCUCCUUGUCCUAAUGUAGUGGAUUGCUUUGUAUCCAGGCCUACAGAGAAGACAAUUUUCAUGCUCUUUAUGCACAGCAUUGCAGCCAUCUCUUUGUUCCUCAAUGUACUGGAAAUAUUUCAUCUGGGAAUCAGGAAAAUCAUGAGGGCAUUUUAUGAGAAAUCCAGCAAUGAGGGCACUGAGGAUGAAAGCAGCAUCCCAUUCCAUUUGAAAAAAUAUUCAGUGGCCCAGGAGUGUAUGAUUUGCUCUCCCUUGCCUAAAAGAAUCCCUCUACUUCAAGCAAACAAUCAACAGCAAGUCAUUCGAGUCAAUGUGCCAAAGUCUAAAACCAUGUGGCAAAGCUCACAGCCCAUGCAACUUGGAGUAGACUCUUGCUGUAUUAAAGAAGAGUGGGCUGAGAAGGAUCAGCACACUGGACAGCUCCAUGCCCACAGCCCAUGUCUCUGGGAAGCCGGUACUCAAAGUCAGCACCCCGGACAGCAACCGGACCUUUCUUCUGGCCUACACAACGCAAAGUCUCACUCCUGCCUAGGUAAAGAGAUAGCUCCCAGACACUGCCCGUCCUAUGCAAUAGGAAACUGGGGGCAGUCCCAGGAUCGACGACCCUCAGGAGAGGCUCUCACAGAUUUAAACAGUAAAUGUAGAGACAGCGAUGGCAGUGUGAGAAAGAGUGGGGUCUGGACAGACAGAUCUUAUCCGGGCAGUCACAAGGCCAGCUUUCUGCCCAGAUUACUGUCUGAAAAGGGACACUUGUACAGUGACUCAGGAAGCUCCAGUUCUCGAAACAGCUCUUGCUUGGACCUUCUGCACCAGGAAAAUAGCCCCUCGCUUCUGCCUUCAGCCACUGGGUACAGAACAUCAAUGAACAUGCUUCUAGAACUUUCAUCUCUUAUGAAAAAAUAAUUCAUGUGUGGGGCCAGAAAAAUGAACCCAGGAGUAACUGGCAUCUGCGGGAGAAAAGUUGCACUUUUGUUAGCUCAAACUUUGAGAAGAACUGCGGGAACCAUUCCCUCCACAGAGACACCCACCGGGCGAUGGAGGUGGAAAUGAGGUGUGGAGAUAGAAAGAGGCAUGAUCUGUUCCACAGUAAGUUGGUAGAAGAGCCAGUGAAGACCAGGUGGAUGAAAAUGAUGCUGGGGCCAAGUCCAAGUGGGUAUCACUAAGGGGCAGAGCAUAUUCCAGGUGCUUAAGACACGUUCUCUCUACCUUGUACAACUGUGUAAAGUUACUGUUCAUCCCCAUUUUAUAGAUCAGAGAAGGCUCAAAGAGACUAAGUAGCUUGCCCCACAGCUCAAGGUCGCACAGCUGAAGUGUCUGCCGUGCAGCUGAAUUCAGACCCAGAUCCCGCUGCUCCAAGGCGCAAACUCCUUCCAGGAAGCCAUGAAGCCAUGCUCUCUCCUAUCCAUGACGAUCAGCAGCCCCUGGGCAAUGAUUUAUUUGCACAUCUUCCUGUCCAACUAGCCUGUGGAAGCUGUAAGGAUAAGGGCUGUACAUUUUCAAUCUUGGAUGCCCAGCAUGCAGCACAGUGUUGGUUGGUUGAAUGAACGUAUGUUUCU